rnacentral:piRNA from 1 species
UACUCUUUGCUGAUGGAUGCGGAUGA